UACUAUGUGAUGUGGCUAGAAUGGGUCUA
rnacentral:piRNA from 1 species